UACGUAGGGUGCAAGCGUUAAUCGGAAUUACUGGGCGUAAAGCGUGCGCAGGCGGUUUUGUAAGUCUGUCGUGAAAUCCCCGGGCUCAACCCGGGAACUGCGUCCGAUACUGGAAGGCUUGAAUCCGGGAGAGGGAUGUGGAAUUCCAGGUGUAGCGGUGAAAUGCGUAGAUAUCUGGAGGAACACCGGUGGCGAAGGCGACAUCCUGGACCGGCAUUGACGCUGAGGCGCGAAAGCCAGGGGAGCAAACGGG
rnacentral:rRNA from 1 species